AGUCAACCUGCCCUAGGGACGUGGACAAACCACGGGAAACUGUGGCUAAACCGCGAUAGGCCAUCGCUGCUGGAAUGGGCAAUGGCUCAAACCUACAUGGCCCUAGGAUGGGACUGCGGCCGAUCAGGUUGUUGGCGGGGUAAUGGCCCACCAAGCCUGUAACCGGUACGGGCUCUGAGAGGAGGAGCCCGGAGAUGGGCACUGAGACAAGGGCCCAGGUCCUAUGGGACGCAGCAGGCGCGAAACCUUCGCAAUAGGCGAAAGCCUGACGAGGUUAAUCCGAGUGUUUUCUGCUAAAGGAAUCUUUUGUCAGCUCUAAAUAGGCUGGUGAAUAAGGGGUGGGCAAGCCUGGUGUCAGCCGCCGCGGUAAUACCAGCACCCCGAGUGGUCGGGAUGAUUAUUGGGCCUAAAGCAUCCGUAGCCGGUCCUGCAAGUCUUCCGUUAAAUCCACCUGCUCAACAGUUGGGCUGCGGGAGAUACUGUAGGACUAGGAGGCGGGAGAGGCGAGGGGUAUUCCUUGGGUAGGGGUAAAAUCCUCUGAUCCAUGGAGGACCACCAGUGGCGAAGGCGUCUCGCCAGAACGCGCUCGACGGUGAGGGAUGAAAGCUGGGGGAGCAAACCGGAUUAGAUACCCGGGUAGUCCCAGCUGUAAACGAUGCAGGCUCGGUGAUGGACUGGCUUCGAGCCAGUCCAGUGCCGCAGGGAAGCCGUUAAGCCUGCCGCCUGGGGAGUACGGUUGCAAGACUGAAACUUAAAGGAAUUGGCGGGGGAGCACCACAAGGGGUGAAGCCUGCGGUUC
rnacentral:rRNA from 1 species